rnacentral:lncRNA from 1 species
CAGGGCCAUUGAUCAGCCGCUCUGGAGGGGAUUAGCCUGGGAGCAAUGGAAGGGCCACCCUCCUGGUCAGCCUGUGCUGUGGGUCAGCCAAGCCCCAGAGCCCACAAAGGCUGGGGUUGAGAGUGGAGUUGGGCAUCCAGCCCUCCCCGGGCGGGGGGGGGUGUCCUGCCGGCUGAGCCUCCCUCUGAAUCCCUUUGAGGCAGGCUCAUGGCCUGGGGGUGGGGGGGGCCGCAGUGGGGGCCCAGGGGGCGGGCUCCAAGUGCUCCAGCCAGUGCUGUCUAGACAGGUAUUUGGGGGACCGAGCUCCUCUAGGCUCCAAGGUAGGGUAUUCGUUUCCGAGCACUGUCCCAACAAGGUACGGCUGAUGGGGCGGCUUAAAACAACAGAAACGCAUUCUUUCACAGCUCUGAAGGCUAGAAGCCCAAGGUCAAGGUGCAGGACCAGCAGGACCGUGCUCCCUCUGAAGGCUCUACAGGAGGAUGCCUCCUGCCUCUUCCUAGCUGCGAAGCUGGCUGGCAACCCUUGCCAUUCAUUCAGUCUCUGCCUCUGUCGUCGCAGGGCCUUCGCCCUGUGUCUGCCUCUCUGUCCCUACUUUCUUGUAAGGACGCCAGUAAUACUGGAUUAGGACCCACCUAAGGACCUCACCUGAGUUACUUCAGCAAAGACCCUCAUUUCCAAACAAGGUCACGUUCAGAAGUACCAGGACCUCAACAUAUUUUUUAUGGGACACAGUCCAACCCAUCCCAGGUGGGGCGAGAGGUGGGGACAGGCUGCUUACUGGCCGAGCCACGGGCUGCCGUUCCAAAGGUCCAUGUAACCCUGAGUCCUCAUGUCACUGCUGAAGCGUGUUCUAUCUCUAUGCCUGAGCUACUAGCACACUCACUCCCCUCCCCUCCACAUACAGGUGUCGCCUGUCACUUCUCCCUCCUGUGGCCCCUGGGGCCUCCCUGUGAGCCCUCCUGUGACUGGAAGGAGAGGAAGCUCUGUGAGCUGCACACAGCUUUCCCAUGGUCUCAACAGAGCCUUCAAGGGUGGCCAGGCAGGGUCCCCGGAGGCCGCCUCUGUCAUCUCUGUCACCUCUGUCCAGCACUGCACCUCGCUUGUUCACUCACUUAUUAACCAGGUGUCAGCACCAACGUGGUACCAGCCUGGGCUGUGCUUCCAGGCCAAAGAAAUAAACGAGGCCUCAUCUGGUUUCUGAGGGAUGCAGCUCACCGGGGGAAGACGCCCCUUUGUCCUCCCAGCAGCAGGCAGAGGUCAAGGCCCUCAGCAGUACUGACGGUGCUUCUCAGUGUUUCAGGAUGAGACUCCACCAGGACGGCCGGUCAUCGAUUCAGGUGUGAGACCUUUCGGGAGUCAUUGCUCAGUGGCCCUACUUCCCUCACCUGUAUGGGGGAUGCGAGGUCCCAAAGGGCUUCUGGGACCCUUAUGGAGGCCCUAAGACUAGCUUUGUGAUACAGCCAACCAGACGCAGGACAGGCCACAUCCCCCUGUAAAAAAAAAUGGCCACUUACCCCAUUUCACAGCUAAGGAAGUGGAGACUCAGAAAGCAGAUGUCACUUGUCUCCAUCACACAGCCGAGAAGUGCUAGAUUCAAACUCAGGACCCCCUGGUGGUCGAGCCCCCAGACCGCCGUGUGUGUGUCCCUCUGUCCCUGCCAUGCCACAACUCCUGGGCCCCUCACCCCUCCUGUCCCCACCCUGGGCCCUGGCCUUUGGCCUCUGUCGCAGGCGUGGCCCCUGCCCAGCCCUUUGAAGCUUUCCCAGUCAGAGGUCAGGAAAGUGGCUUCUGAUCAGGGGCUUGGGGUUUGAGCCGUGCCUCCUCAAGCCACAGUCAGCUGGGGACACAGAAUGGAAACUCCUCGUGUGUCACCCAGCCUGGCCUCCUCCACUAUGUGGUCCCUCCCAGCAGCAGGGGCUCCCAGAACACCCUGGGAGCUGGAAACCCAAGGUGGCCGGAGGGAGGUCAGGCAACAGGGACAGACUCAAUCCAAAUUACCUGUUGCCAGUCCUGUGC